UGUGUGUGUUGCCUAGAACAAUGGCAGAGCACAUAAAUAUUAGGUUAAAAGUCGGCCAGGGGUAUUCCUGUAAUUAUGUCUUGACUUGGGUUUUAAGCCGGCUGGGAUUUGCGCGCUUCGCUGUCGAUCUACAGCACAAAGUGUGCAUCGAUCGAUGGUGGACUCUAAAGGUCGACCUCGAACUGGUUCGAUGGUCAUCUUCGAGCUUCCUCUCAUGUUAUCUCAAAAAUGCAC
rnacentral:lncRNA from 1 species